ACAGAUUGAGACUUCCUUCUUCUAUUACGUGGCAAGCUCACAGGCUACGUCCCGCGGGCCACAUGCGGCCAGCCGAAAUGUUUUAUGCGGCCCACCGAAACGUACAGAAAUCAGGUCUCAUUCUACAAAUGUAAUAGUAUACCUAUGAGAAAAAAACAACUUUUUUGCUGACACUUAUUUCGAAAAACAGCAUCAGUUUUAAAACAAAGAAAACGAACUUAGUGUACCACUAAAGAGAAGGAUAAGAACAACACUACGCAUGAUUCUAUCAAUAUAUAAAUACAGUUUACAACAUAAACCAGAGAAUCUAUUGAAUUAACUCUUUGUAGACCACUUUGAAGCUAGCUUCCUGUGUAAGCUACAAUCAGCUGACAGAUUUAAAGUAAACACUCGCAUGUUAUUGACUUACAACCAUUGAAUUCAACGAAAGCCUAGCUUAGUAGUUUAGUUAGCACCAGGAACUUGCAUCGGUAGAACAAAGAAACAUUGAUUAGGUGCUAAACGGUGCAGUCUAUAGUACUAUCAGUUCUUGUUGACAGUGUAGCGUAGAUUUGAAAGCAAUCAUGUUUAAAGUUGGUGCGCUCAAAGAUAUGCUUUUUCUGACUUCCUUGUUGAGUCUAACAUUAAAUGCCAAAGCAGAAUUCAACGUACGGGAAUACUGCUCACAGAGGUGUUUGCGUGGCCAAGGUGGUAUCCUAUGUAAAUGUAACGCCGUACACUUCAAUGGAAAGCGAUCUCAGCCUCUGCACAGCCCAAGACACACAGGGAAUUUUAUACUAGAAACUCAAGAAAGGCCAGACUAUAGAAUUCACGGUGAUCUGCCUAGUACUUCUUGGUUAGAUGAAUCAGAUAUGGAUGAACAGUCAUGGCAGGACUAUCCUAAAUUGUUAAGAAUAGGUCAAGAUUUCUCACACU